AUACUUACCUGGCUCAGGCAACCAUGAUCACUAGGUGGUUCCUUCCAAGAAUUGAGGCCUUUCCAUUGCACUAAGGAUGGGUGACCCUUGCGAUUAAUCCAAAUGUGAUUAACUCGGGAGUACAAUUUUAGUAGUGAGGGACUGCGUUCGCGCCGUCCCUGA